AUGCAAGUCGAACGGUAACAGGCAAAGCUUGCAUUGCGCUGACGAGUGGCGGACGGGUGAGUAACGCGUGGGAAUCUGCCUUAUAGUGGGGGAUAGCCCGGAGAAAUCCGGAUUAAUACCGCAUACGCCCUACGGGGGAAAGCUGGGGAUCUUCGGACCUGGCGCUAUUAGAUGAGCCCGCGUUAGAUUAGCUUGUUGGUAGGGUAAUGGCCUACCAAGGCGACGAUCUAUAGCUGGUCUGAGAGGACGAUCAGCCACACUGGAACUGAGACACGGUCCAGACUCCUACGGGAGGCAGCAGUGGGGAAUAUUGCACAAUGGGCGCAAGCCUGAUGCAGCAAUACCGCGUGUGUGAAGAAGGCCUGCGGGUUGUAAAGCACUUUCAAUAGUGAAGAAAAGUUGUUGGUUAAUAACCUUCGACCUUGACGUUAACUAUACAAGAAGCACCGGCUAACUCCGUGCCAGCAGCCGCGGUAAUACGGAGGGUGCAAGCGUUAAUCGGAAUUACUGGGCGUAAAGCGUGCGUAGGCGGUUUGUUUAGUCAGAUGUGAAAGCCCCGGGCUCAACCUGGGAACUGCAUUUGAAACUGGCAAGCUAGAGUAUGAUAGAGGGGGGUAGAAUUUCUGGUGUAGCGGUGAAAUGCGUAGAUAUCAGAAGGAAUACCAGUGGCGAAGGCGGCCCCCUGGAUCAAUACUGACGCUGAGGUACGAAAGCGUGGGGAGCGAACGGGAUUAGAUACCCCGGUAGUCCACGCCGUAAACGAUGUCAACUAGCCG
rnacentral:rRNA from 1 species